UACAGAGGUCUCAAGCGUUGUCCGGAAUUAUUGGGCGUAAAGAGCUUGUAGGCGGUUUGUCGCGUCUGCUGUGAAAUUUCGGGGCUCAACCCCGAACUUGCAGUGGGUACGGGCAGACUAGAGUGUGGUAGGGGAGACUGGAAUUCCUGGUGUAGCGGUGAAAUGCGCAGAUAUCAGGAGGAACACCGAUGGCGAAGGCAGGUCUCUGGGCCAUAACUGACGCUGAGAAGCGAAAGCAUGGGGAGCGAACAGG
rnacentral:rRNA from 1 species